ACAGCUUUGGACAAAAGUCUAUAGCCAGUGCAUUCGUAACUCCCCAUGCACAAGAGCUGACUGUGGCUCUGGGAAGACAUUAUUUUCCUCAUUUGCUUGCUUGCUUGCUUUUUUUUUUUUUAAUUCUUGUAGUCUUCUUGGCCAGUUCUCAGGUGUUUCCCACCUCUUAGAAUUCCACCUGUCUGGGGCCUGUGUGGGAGAAAGUCCCAGGACUUGUCAGCCGCACAGGCCUCAGAAGAGAGCUCU
rnacentral:lncRNA from 1 species